rnacentral:rRNA from 1 species
AUUGAACGCUGGCGGCAUGCUUUACGCAUGCAAGUCGAACGGUAACAGGCCUUCGGGUGCUGACGAGUGGCGAACGGGUGAGUAAUGCAUCGGAACGUGCCCAGAGGUGGGGGAUAACGCAGCGAAAGCUGUGCUAAUACCGCAUGUGAUCUGAGGAUGAAAGCGGGGGACCACGCAGCAAUGUUUGGCCUCGCGCCUCUGGAGCGGCCGAUGUCAGAUUAGGUAGUUGGUGGGGUAAAGGCCUACCAAGCCGACGAUCUGUAGCUGGUCUGAGAGGACGACCAGCCACACUGGGACUGAGACACGGCCCAGACUCCUACGGGAGGCAGCAGUGGGGAAUUUUGGACAAUGGGCGCAAGCCUGAUCCAGCAAUGCCGCGUGCGGGAAGAAGGCCUUCGGGUUGUAAACCGCUUUUGUACGGAACGAAAAGGCUCUGGCUAAUACCUGGGGCUGAUGACGGUACCAUAAGAAUAAGCACCGGCUAACUACGUG